CCCUCUUUUGGUGUCUUUUGGUGAGCUCAACUGAAGGCAGAGCAACCUGACACCCUCUUGGCACAAGGCAAAGUGCUCCUGGUUGACAAAUCACUACUUCAUCGCUAUGGCAUGAUUAAACCUGAAAAAUCUCAGCCAAAAACUGGGAAAAGCAGCAGUUUGAGAAGAUGGGGACUCCCCAGCAAGAGGAACAGGGACAAAGGAACUCCAGUGCCCAAGGAAAGACCAAAGAUAAAUUCCCUACUACAAAACCUGAGUGAGUGGAAACCAACAAGUGACUCCCUGAUAGGUCCUGGGUAGAGCACACUGCUCCUUCUGAAAUCAAAGAUGUUUUCAAUGGCUUCAUUAUUACACUAACAAGAAGCUUCUGAUCCCAACCACAGCCAGCAAGAUUCAUCAGUGGAGAUUUGCAUGUGCUCUUGCUGGGCAUCCCAGGAAACUUCUUGAAGCACUUCCAUAGGAAGCUGAAGAUUGGGCUUAAUUUAGGAUUUUCACGGCAGCAAAUAAUUAACACCAAGGGAUGAUGUUU